rnacentral:pre_miRNA from 1 species
UUGUUUGCUGGUGCGGCAUCACCAAGACUCACGUAUGCCGGCCAGGGCCGUGCGUCCUGGCAAUGUCAUCGUAACCGGGCGGCCGUGGUUUGAUGUGAAUCUUGAUGAUGCUGCAUCGGCAAAGAG